UAAACGACAGGUUUGGUCCUGGCCUUUUUAUUAGUUGUCUGCAGGAUUAUACAUGCAAAAAUCCCUGUACCGGUGAGAAUGCCCUCUGUACCACACUCCAGGUUUAGAGGAGCAGGCAUCAAGCACACUACAAAGUAGCUCACGACGCCUUGCUUUGCCACACCCCUCGGGAAACAGUAGUAGUAAAAAUUAAGCAAUAAACGAAAGUUUGACUAAGCCAUGCAGCAAUUAGAGUUGGUAAAUCUCAUGCCAGCCCCCGCAGUCAUACGAUUAACCCUAGUCAAUAAAACCCGGCGUAAAAAGUGUUUAGGAGAUAUAAAAAAUAAGAUUAAGCUUUAUCUAAGUUGUAGAAAACUCUAGACAUAGUAAAAAUCAAAAACGAAAGUAAUCUUAAUAAAACUGAACACACGAAAGCUAAGGCCCAAACUGGGAUUAGAUACCUCACUAUGCUUAGCCCUAAACAUAAAGACUUACACAACAAAAGGUUUCACCUGAGAACUACUAGCAAUAGCUUAAAACUCAAAGGACUUGGCGGUGCUUUAUACCCGCCUGGAGGAGCCUGUUCUAUAAUCAAUAAACCCCGAUACACCUCACCUCUCCUUGCUAAUUCAGCCUAUAUACCGCCAUCUUCAGCGAACCCAAUUAUGGAAACAAAGUAAGCGCAAGUAUACUACAUAAAAACAUUAGGUCAAGGUGUAGCCAAUAGAGUGGGAAGAAAUGGGCUACAUUUUCUUAUCGAAGAACAACAAACGCAAGUCUUUAUGAAAUUUAAAGACCUAAGGAGGAUUUAGUAGUAAAUGAAGAAUAGAGGGCUUGGUUGAACUAGGCCAUGAAGCACGUGCACACCGCCCAUCACCCUCCUCAAGUAUCCAAGAGUUUUAUAUAAACUAACAAAUAUUAGAGGAGACAAGUCGUAACAAGGUAAGCAUACUGAAAGUGUGCCUAGAAACAAAGUGUA
rnacentral:ncRNA from 1 species